rnacentral:rRNA from 1 species
GACGAACGCUGGCGGCGUGCUUAACACAUGCAAGUCGAACGAAGUGGCGAACGGGUGAGUAACGCGUAAUCAACCUGCCCUUCAGAGGGGGACAACAGUUGGAAACGACUACUAAUACCGCAUACUGAAGGAGGGGCUUGCGUCUGAUUAGCUAGUUGGAGGGGGAACGGCCCACCAAGGCGAGGAUCAGUAGCCGGUCUGAGAGGGUGAACGGCCAAAGUGGGACUGGGACACGGCCCAGACGUCGACGGGAGGCAGCAGUGGGGAAUCUUCCGCAAUGGACGAAAGUCUGACGGAGCAACGCCGCGUGAGGGAUGACGGCCUUCGGGUUGUAAAGCUCUGUUAAUCGGGACGCGGUACCGGAAUAGAAAGCCACGGCUAACUACGUGCCAGCCGCCGCGGUAAUUC